GUAUGUGUAUCAUAACCAACCACCACCAGGUGUAUCCAGUACAGUUACUAACAACGUGUCGUGAACAGUUCUUCUGCAGUUUUUAAAUGUCCGAAUCCUCACUGCAGAACAACGCAUGACACAGACUACAAAUACUGUCCAGAUUGUGGUACUCAAAGAAAAGGUGAGGAAUGAAUAAAUAUAAAAUGUGAGUAUACCACAAUAAGUUAUACUUAUUGAUUUUUUGCAAAAAGAAAACCACACCAAAAGAAAACACUCACAAAGUAUGACUCUAAUAACAAGGAAAGUAGUUUUCUUUUGAAGUGAUUAGCAUUGAUAUAUUUAGAAAAUUGUGGUCUUUUUUUUUUACAAGAAUUUUUACUGGCCUAUAUCUAAUGUAUUCACGUUUUUAUAUGAACUAAAAGUGAUUAAAAAAUAACCCUUACAUGUUCUGUAUUUCUGAUUUAAUUUUUGUAAAAAACUAUGGGUUUUUGUUUUAUGUAUUAGACAUAUGCUACAUAUAAAGAUUAAAUAUUCAAAGUUUGGAUCAUAGAGAAAGUAUUAUUAUUAUCAUUAUUAUUAUUAUUGUUAUUAUUAUUAUUAUUAUUAUUAUUGCAUAUCUCUUCCACUGUUUCCUGCCUUCUACAGUUCUCAUCAGGAAACAAGGCUUAAAUGUCUACAAUUCUGUAUUCAUUGAUUUUUUCAUUAUUUAGAUCUUAAAAGUGCAACUUUCUCAUUGUUUUUUGUCAUUAGACCAUUAUUUUAGUAUUUUUAUUUGCAAAUUCUUAAUUGAAACUAUAAGAAAAUUUGAUAGCAAAAAUAGUAAUCACUCAAUCAUAUUAAUCAUUCAUAAUAACCUUCUUUUUUACUUUUGCAGACAACAACCCAGACUUAGCCAAAGUGCCUCCUGGACCGCCUCUAAACAUAGUUGUAAUUGGAAAGACAGGACAAGGGAAGAGUUCAACUGGAAACUCAAUCCUAUUC
rnacentral:misc_RNA from 1 species